GACGGGGGGGGCAAGCGUUGUUCGGAAUUACUGGGCGUAAAGGGCUCGUAGGCGGCCAACUAAGUCAGACGUGAAAUCCCUCGGCUUAACCGGGGAACUGCAUCUGAUACUGGAUGGCUUGAGAUUGGGAGAGGGGUGCGGAAUUCAGGUGUAGCGGUGAAAUGCGUAGAUAUCUGGAGGAACACCGGUGGCGAAGGCGGCAUCCUGGACCAACACUGACGCUGAGGCACGAAGGCCAGGGGAGCAAACGGG
rnacentral:rRNA from 1 species